rnacentral:lncRNA from 1 species
UAAGAAGAGGAAUAGCCAGGUCUUGGGUGACAGAGUUCAAGCUGUUACAUACCAAACCAUAUUGGUUUUCAUGGUCCAAAAGUUCAGAUCUUGACCCAGACAUUUGUUACAGACAUCUUUCUGAUGCAGUCAACCACCCUGCACCUCCGUGUGUGUCUCCAGCCUUGUGGACACACUUUCAUGAAAUAUUUUUUGAAACAUGACCGUAGAAGAAAAUGGAUGAUGUGAGAUUGUGAGAAUGUGUUCAACAUUACAGUUUGUCUUUGUUGAAAUAAGGUGUGCCACUGUCUGCCUCAACUGUAGACUUCUAAGCCAUCUCCUUUUUCUUCUCUAAUAAACCGGGCGAAGUCUGGAUCAUGAGCUGACCACCCUUUCACCUCCAUUAUUAGAGGACAUUUUGCUACUUCCUCAAUAUUCUCAACGCAUGGCUUUUCUCUGAAAGUUCUGCAUGCUCGCCAAGAAAUAUAUAACAUCAGCUCGGUUCCAUGGCUCCUGCCUGUAAUUCCAGCUCUUCGGGAUGCUGAGACUGGUGAAUCACUUGAGCUCAGGAGUUUGAGACCAGCCUGGGCAACAGGACAAAGCCCCAUCUCUAUUAAAAAUACAAAAAUUAGCCCAGUGUGGUGGUGCACAUCUGUGGUCCCAGCUACUCUGGAGGAUCACUGGAGCCCGGGAGGUUGAGUUUACAGUGAGCCUUGAUUGAGUCACUGCACUUCAGCCUGAGUGACAGAGUGAGACAUUGUCUCAAAAAUAAAAAGGAAAAGAAAAUUUAUAACGACAAAGGUCAGGCAGGUUUGUUUAGAGACCACUAUGAAAAAUUUGAGCUUCCAAAGCUCAGAGUUUCUUUCCUGUGAUGCAACCGCCACAUAUGCAGGAAUCACCUGACGCUUUUCAUAUCACCCUGUGGUAAUUGAGACUUAAGAACUGGUCAAGAAAAUCAUGACACUCUGGCUAUACUGUCGUUGCUUGUUCUUCAUAGGAAAUAAUCUGGAGUCCAUUCUCUCUAUCCUGCUUUGUCCUUCCUGAAGUAAGUUCCAGUUUGUCAAUAUCUUAUGCAGAAUGUGGCAUUCAGAAAUAAGGACAAUUCUUCUAGUGAAAUAACUGAUGCUUAUUCUGUCUACAUCUUGUUAUUGCACGGCAAGAACAAGCAGUUGGACCUCAUUCAUCAGGGACCACCACCACUGUGUUCGACACCUUGGGCUAGGGAAGAAUGCUGAAUGUGUUCAUGAUUUGUCUGGGUACUCCUCCCAG